CUGUGUGUCUGUGCUCAUGAGGGUGGCACGCAAGGCAAGGCAGGGACCCUGGCAGGUGCGGGAAGGUGAUUUGGGGCAAGUUCAGGGUUCAAGAGGGAGGGGCAGGGAAGAGAAUGUGCUUUCCGGAAUUAGGCUUGUUGGAUCUCACGUAAGCUAAAUAUAUACAUGGCAACAGCCUGGACGAGGAAUCCAGGCGAGUCUGGGGGUGGGGAAGACGGGGAAGUGCUUACCAGGACCAGUUGUCCAGAAGCUCUCAUAACACAGUUUGACGUGCCCUUGCCUCUGGUUACCUUGGAGACAGGACACCCUCCUUGUGGGUUAUCCACUGACUGAGAUCAUUUAGCCUAAUGGUGAAGAAUGCCAGCUCCAGGGUCAGAAAUGACUCUGGGCUUGAAUCACUGCCACCUUUGGAUAGGUUGUGUGCCCUUGGGUUCUUUCAUUCCAUCAACACUGUUGGGGAGGCUACUUGGACCAGGCACUGUUCUAGGCAUUAUGGACAGAUCAUGAGUGAAAUGAAAGGAGUCCCAGACCCAGCUGGGUGGAGGUGA
rnacentral:lncRNA from 13 species